AUAAGGGUUCGACUCCGGAAAGGGAGCCUUAGAAACGGCUACCACGUCCAAGGAAGGCAGCAGGCGCGAAACUUAUCCACUGUUGAGUAUGAGAUAGUGACUAAAAAUAUAAAGACUCAUCCUUUUGGAUGAGUUAUUUCAAUGAGUUGAAUACAAAUGAUUCUUCGAGUAGCAAGGAGAGGGCAAGUCUGGUGCCAGCAGCCGCGGUAAUUCCAGCUCUCCUAGUGUAUCUCGUUAUUGCUGCGGUUAAAAAGCUCGUAGUUGGAUCUAGGUUACGUGCUGCAGUUCGCAAUUUGCGUCAACUGUAGUCGUGACUUCUAAUUUGCUGGUUUGAGGUUGGGUUCGCCCUUCAACUGCCAGCAGGUUUACCUUGAAUAAAUCAGAGUGCUCAAAACAAGUGUUUGCUUGAAUAGCUCAUCAUGGAAUAAUGAAACAGGACUUCGGUUCUUUUUGUUGGUUCUAGAACUGAUUUAAUGGUUAAGAGGGACAAACCGGGGGCAUUCGUAUCAUUACGCGAGAGGUGAAAUUCGUGGACCGUAGUGAGACGCCCAACAGCGAAAGCAUUUGCCAAGAAUGUCUUCAUUAAUCAAGAACGAAAGUCAGAGGUUCGAAGGCGAUUAGAUACCGCCCUAGUUCUGACCGUAAACGAUGCCAUCUCGCGAUUCGGAGGGUUUUUGCCCUGCCGAGGAGCUAUCCGGAAACGAAAGUCUUUCGGUUCCGGGGGUAGUAUGGUUGCAAAGCUGAAACUUAAAGAAAUUGACGGAAGGGCACCACAAGGCGUGGAGCUUGCGGCUUAAUUUGACUCAACACGGGAAAACUCACCCGGUCCGGACACCAUUAGGACUGACAGAUUGAAAGCUCUUUCUCGAUUUGGUGGUUGGUGGUGCAUGGCCGUUCUUAGUUGGUGGAGUGAUUUGUCUGGUUUAUUCCGAUAACGAGCGAGACUCUAGCCUGCUAAAUAGUUGGCGAAUCUUCGGGUUCGUAUAACUUCUUAGAGGGAUAAGCGGUGUUUAGCCGCACGAGAUUGAGCGAUAACAGGUCUGUGAUGCCCUUAGAUGUCCGGGGCUGCACGCGUGCUACACUGGUGGACUCAGCGGGUUUUUCCUAUGCCGAAAGGUAUCGGUAAACCGUUGAAAUUCUUCCAUGUCCGGGAUAGGGUAUUGUAAUUAUUGCCCUUAAACGAGGAAUGCCUAGUAAGUGUGAGUCAUCAGCUCACGUUGAUUACGUCCCUGCCCUUUGUACACACCGCCCGUCGCUAUCCGGGACUGAACUGAUUCGAGAAGAGUGGGGACUGUCGCUUCGAGGUUUAACGACUUCGUUGUUGCGGAAACCAUUUUUAUCGCAUUGGUUUGAACCGGGUAAAAGUCGUAACAAGGUAGCUGUAGGUGAACCUGCAGCUG
rnacentral:rRNA from 1 species